rnacentral:lncRNA from 1 species
GGAAAAAAAUAGAAGUAAUGCAAUCAUAGUAUAUUACAUUGCUGAGCUAUAAAAAAUGAUUCAUAAUAAUGAACGCUGAUGGCUGAUAUAAUUAAAAUUGUGGUUUAACAGUGUUAGGAAUCUAGAAGGAAGAGAAUGAAUACGUGUGUCUGUGUGUGUGUGUGUGUUUAAAGCAAAAGUUCUAAUUUUCCUUAGUAGGAAAUCAAUUAACAAUCUCUAAAACUGCAAAAUCAAGAAAUAGCAGUACAUGUUUUAAAAUACUGAGUUUGAGGAGUUCCCACUAUGGUGCGGUGGGUUCAGAACCUGACUACAGCAGCUCCUGUCACUGUAGAUUAAAAGGAUCCAACAUUGCUGUGGCAAUAGGUUGUAGCUGCAGGUCAGAGUCAAUCCCUGGUCGAGGAAUGUCUAUUGCCGCAGGUGUGGCCAUAAAAUAAAUACAAAUUUAAAAAUAAAAUACCGAGUUGAUUCCCAGAGGAAAGAAAUAAGAUUUUAAAGUCAGGUUGACUCUGAAGGGGACGAGGAGAAAGGACAGCAAGAGGUGCCGUCAUCAUUACAAGCCUUCUGACACCGUGUGAUGCGGUAACGCUCCUUAGGUAUUAUAUUAAUAAUACAAAAAUUACAAGGAGGAAAAAGGAAGGGAGAGGGAGGGUGGAAGGAAGAAAAUGGCUCGGUCAUAACAGCAUUCACGGAUUACACUCUACCAGUGAACAUGGUGAUCGCCAGAGCCAUUACAUUAAGUCUCAAACAAGCUACAUUUAAAGUAUUUACCUAAUUACCCAGAGGGAGUUCACCAGUCUAAAGGUUACUGCACAACCGCCUGGAAGAGCUUCGCAAAAAUACAGAUUCCUGGGUCCCGCACUCGAUGGUUCCGAGUCAACGUGCGCUGGCGGGGCCUGGAAAUGUGCCCUUAGUUCCCCAGAUGAUUGCUUAGCACAGCAGGUUCAGGAACCGCUGAACUAGAGCGGAAAUUGUGAGUGUGGAUAGGGAGGGGCGAGGGAAGGCGGCUUUUGUGAUCCCACAUUUCUGCGCACAUGUCGGUGUGGUGUGCGUCUGUCUUCUUCCCUCCAGCCCGCCUUCCUCGUCUUUUAUCCUGACCCGUAAGUCCCCCCUCACCGCCGCCAGAAAUGAAGAUGCCCAUCCCCGGGAUUUUAACCCCAGCAAGGCGGCGCUUUCUCGCCCGGCCCCGGGGCUCCCUCUGCUGGCAGAAACCUGUUAAAACUCUUCAACCUGGAUUCCGCGCCGUGUUCCUCUAAGGCCAUUUUCCCAGGCUGUUUAUCAAGCCCUCAAAUUUCAGGAAGCUCCCAUCAGACAGAAAGGGAAAAAUCCAACCAGCCCAGGAAAAACUUUCCUGCCCUACAAAUGGGAAUACAUAAAUAAAUAUCAGGAAGGGCGCAGCCUGAGGCAGAAAUAACAAUAAACUGUACAUACUGCGGCCACAUCUGAAGAAAAGGCGAGCUGAAGGAGUUCUGCUCCCCACCUUCUUACCCCCCACCCCCGAGAGAGAUGGACGGACAGAUGCGCCUCGAAAUCGAAGGAAGGAAACAGCUUAGGCGAAAAGCUCACUGAACGGGAAAGCGGAACGCGGGAACACGGGCGUGCUCCCCUUCUCUUACUUCCUGGAGUCUUCUGGAGCCACGGGCCGGAUCCCACAAGCCAGCCCCUCCAAGCGACUUGGUCUACAGGCUCCGUUAGAUCUUUUCCCACAAGCUGAAAACAUGCUCAGCCCAGCACAGCGUCCGGCACAGAGAAUAUGCUGGGAAGUAUCCGAAUGAAAACUCAUUGCUACGCUAAAGAUCAGAGCCUCUUUCGGACCUGCAUGCCUUCCACGCUCCUCGGGCGCCCCCACCCCCACGCUCACACCGAAGAUGCUUCUCUCCGCGUGACACCGCUCUUCAACCCACAGCCUUCUGGCUCCAGUGCCUUCAGCACUCUGGCCGACCUCCAGGGCCUCCUGCGUCCAGACCCCGUGUGUUUCUGUCACUUCUCAUCCUCCUGGCCUCUCAGAAGCUUCCAAGCUGAUCUCCUGCCCCCAAGGCUUCUCUUUGUGCCCCUGCCUCAGCCCCCUUUUGUAAGAGCCCCCUGUGCCCUUCACCCCCUCCCUGGGGGUAUCAUCUGCUGUGAUUUCAACUUAAUAGGAUUUCAUUCUCCCAGAUCUAUCUCUCUAGCCUAGACCUCUCUCCCAGCUUUCAAAUACCCAGCAGACAUCUUUAUCAGUAUAUAUAGGAGUCACGUUCCUUUAAAUGACUUGGGAAAUGCUUCCUAGCACCUACUGUGUGCCACACACAGCACUAAGUACUGGAGGUUCACUGGGGUAGACCAAGCAUCUGGUCUCCCAGAGCCAAGUGCGAUGGGGAAAAAUGGGCAGAGGAGUAACUGUGAGUACAAAGGGAUGGGAGCUGGAGUUCCUGCCGUGCUCAGUGGUAACAAACCCAACUAGAAUCCAUGAGGACACAGGUUCAAUCCCUGGCCUUGCUCAGUGGGUUAAGGAUCCGGCAUUGCGGUGAGCUGUGGUGUAGGUCGCAGACAUGGCUCGGAUCCCACGUUGCUGUGACUCUGGUGUAGGCUGGCAGCUGCAGCUCCAAUUCGACCCCUAGCCUGAGAACCUCCAUGUGCCGCAGGUGCGGC